AUUGAACGCUGGCGGCGUGCCUUACACAUGCAAGUCGAACGGCAGCACGGGUGCUUGCACCUGGUGGCGAGUGGCGAACGGGUGAGUAAUACAUCGGAACAUGUCCUGUAGUGGGGGAUAGCCCGGCGAAAGCCGGAUUAAUACCGCAUACGAUCCACGGGUGAAAGCGGGGGGCCUUCAGGCCUCGCGCUGUUGGGUUGGCAGAUGGCGGAUUAGCUCGUGGGUGGGGUAAAGGCCUACCAAGGCGACGAUCAGUAUCUGGUGUGAGAGGACGACCAGCCACACUGGGACUGAGACACGGACCAGACUCCUACGGGAGGCAGCAGUGGGGAAUGGUGGACAAUGGGCGAAAGCCUGGUCCAGCAAUGCCGCGUGUGUGAAGAAGGCCUUCGGGUUGUAAAGCACUUUUGUCCGGAAAGAAAUCCUUGGCCCUAAUACGGUCGGGGGAUGACGGUACCGGGAGAAUAAGCACCGGCUAACUACGUG
rnacentral:rRNA from 1 species